rnacentral:rRNA from 1 species
GUUUGAUCAUGGCUCAGAUUGAACGCUGGCGGCAUGCUUUACACAUGCAAGUCGAACGGCAGCACGGGGGCAACCCUGGUGGCGAGUGGCGAACGGGUGAGUAAUAUAUCGGAACGUACCCGGAAAUGGGGGAUAACGUAGCGAAAGUUACGCUAAUACCGCAUAUGCCCUGAGGGGGAAAGUGGGGGAUCGCAAGACCUCACGUUUUCGGAGCGGCCGAUAUCAGAUUAGCUAGUUGGUGGGGUAAAGGCCUACCAAGGCGACGAUCUGUAGCUGGUCUGAGAGGACGACCAGCCACACUGGGACUGAGACACGGCCCAGACUCCUACGGGAGGCAGCAGUGGGGAAUUUUGGACAAUGGGGGCAACCCUGAUCCAGCCAUGCCGCGUGAGUGAAGAAGGCCUUCGGGUUGUAAAGCUCUUUUGUCCGGAGCGAAACGGUACGGGUGAAUAUCCCGUGCUACUGACGGUACCGGAAGAAUAAGCACCGGCUAACUACGUGCCAGCAGCCGCGGUAAUACGUAGGGUGCGAGCGUUAAUCGGAAUUACUGGGCGUAAAGCGUGCGCAGGCGGUUUUGUAAGCCAGAUGUGAAGUCCCCGGGCUCAACCUGGGAAUGGCAUUUGGGACUGCAAGGCUUGAGUAUGGCAGAGGGGACUAGAAUUCCUGGUGUAGCAGUGAAAUGCGUAGAUAUCAGGAGGAAUACCGAUGGCGAAGGCAGGUCCCUGGGUUAAUACUGACGCUCAUGCACGAAAGCGUGGGGGAGCAAACAGGAUUAGAUACCCUGGUAGUCCACGCCCUAAACGAUGUCAACUGGUUGUUGGGGGUUUGACACUCUCAGUAACGAAGCUAACGCGUGAAGUUGACCGCCUGGGGAGUACGG